rnacentral:rRNA from 1 species
AGGGGUUUGAUCCUGGCUCAGGACGAACGCUGGCGGCGUGCCUAAUACAUGCAAGUCGAGCGAGUCUGCCUUGAAGAUCGGAGUGCUUGCACUCUGUGAAACAAGAUACAGGCUAGCGGCGGACGGGUGAGUAACACGUGGGUAACCUGCCCAAGAGAUCGGGAUAACACCUGGAAACAGAUGCUAAUACCGGAUAACAACAGAUGAUGCCUAUCAACUGUUUAAAAGAUGGUUCUGCUAUCACUCUUGGAUGGACCUGCGGUGCAUUAGCUAGUUGGUAGGGUAACGGCCUACCAAGGCGAUGAUGCAUAGCCGAGUUGAGGGACUGAUCGGCCACAUUGGGACUGAGACACGGCCCAAACUCCUACGGGAGGCAGCAGUAGGGAAUCUUCCACAAUGGACGCAAGUCUGAUGGAGCAACGCCGCGUGAGUGAAGAAGGGUUUCGGCUCGUAAAGCUCUGUUGUUGGUGAAGAAGGACAGGGGUAGUAACUGACCUUUGUUUGACGGGUAAUCAAUUAA